rnacentral:rRNA from 1 species
UACAGAGGGUGCGAGCGUUGUCCGGAAUCACUGGGCGUAAAGGGCGCGUAGGCGGCUUGAUAAGGUUGCGGUGAAAGCCCGGGGCUCAACCCCGGGUCGGCCGUGGCAACUGUCGAGCUGGAGCACUGUAGAGGCAGGUGGAAUUCCGGGUGUAGCGGUGGAAUGCGUAGAGAUCCGGAAGAACACCGGUGGCGAGGGCGGCCUGCUGGGCAGUGGCUGACGCUGAGGCGCGACAGCGUGGGGAGCAAACAGG